rnacentral:rRNA from 1 species
GAUGAACGCUGGCGGCGUGCCUAACACAUGCAAGUCGAGCGAUUCUCUUCGGAGAAGAGCGGCGGACGGGUGAGUAACGCGUGGGUAACCUGCCCUGUACACACGGAUAACAUAUCGAAAGGCAUGCUAAUACGAGAUAAUAUACUUUUAUUGCAUGGUAGAAGUAUCAAAGCUCCGGCGGUACAGGAUGGACCAGCGUCUGAUUAGCUAGUUGGUAAGGUAACGGCUUACCAAGGCGACGAUCAGUAGCGGACCUGAGAGGAUGAUCGGCCACAUUGGAACUGAGACACGGUCCAAACUCCUACGGGAGGCAGCAGUGGGGAAUAUUGCACAAUGGGCGAAAGCCUGAUGCAGCAACGCCGCGUGAGCGAUGAAGGCCUUCGGGUCGUAAAGCUCUGUCCUCAAGGAAGAUAAUGACGGUACUUGAGGAGGAAGCCCCGGCUAACUACGUGCCAGCCGCCGCCGUAA